AGCAGCCGCGGUAAUUCCAGCUCCAAUAGCGUAUAUUAAAGUUGUUGCAGUUAAAAGCUCGUAGUUGAAUUUCGGGAUCAAUAUGUCGGUCGUGCCUUCGGUACGUACUGGUAUCAUUGGUCUCUCCUUUCUGACGAACCAUGAUGUCAUUAAUUUGGUGUUAUGGGGAGUUAGGACUGUUACUUUGAAAAAUUAGAGUGUUUAAAGCAGGCUUUAGCUUGAAUACAUUAGCAUGGAAUAAUGAAAUAGGACGUUCGAACCUAUUUUGUUGGUUUCUAGGAUCAACGUAAUGAUUAAUAGGGAUAGUUGGGGGCAUUAGUAUUCAAUUGUCAGAGGUGAAAUUCUUGGAUUUAUUGAAGGCUAACUACUGCGAAAGCAUUUGCCAAGGAUGUUUUCAUUAAUCAAGAACGAAAGUUAGGGGAUCGAAGACGAUCAGAUACCGUCGUAGUCUUAACCAUAAACUAUGCCGACUAGGGAUCGGAUGAUGUUAAUUUUUAAUGACUCAUUCGGCGCCUUACGG
rnacentral:rRNA from 1 species